rnacentral:rRNA from 1 species
CCUACGGGUGGCUGCAGUGGGGAAUAUUGGACAAUGGGGGCAACCCUGAUCCAGCCAUGCCGCGUGUGUGAAGAAGGCCCUCGGGUUGUAAAGCACUUUCAGUGAGGAAGAACGCCUGGUGGUUAAUACCCAUCAGGAAAGACAUCACUCACAGAAGAAGCACCGGCUAACUCCGUGCCUGCAGCCGCGGUAAUACGGAGGGUGCGAGCGUUAAUCGGAAUUACUGGGCGUAAAGCGCGCGUAGGUGGCUUGAUAAGCCGGUUGUGAAAGCCCCGGGCUCAACCUGGGAACGGCAUCCGGAACUGUCAAGCUAGAGUGCAGGAGAGGAAGGUAGAAUUCCCGGUGUAGCGGUGAAAUGCGUAGAGAUCGGGAGGAAUACCAGUGGCGAAGGCGGCCUUCUGGACUGACACUGACACUGAGGUGCGAAAGCGUGGGUAGCAAACAGGAUUAGAUACCCCAGUAGUC